rnacentral:rRNA from 1 species
UAGUCCACGCCGUAAACGAUGGAUACUAGCUGUCUGGAACCUUGAGUUCUGGGCGGCCAAGCGAAAGUGAUAAGUAUCCCACCUGGGGAGUACGUUCGCAAGAAUGAAACUCAAAGGAAUUGACGGGGGCCCGCACAAGCGGUGGAGCAUGUGGUUUAAUUCGAUGAUACGCGAGGAACCUUACCAGGGCUUAAAUGUAUUCUGACAGCUUUAGAGAUAGAGUUUCCUUCGGGCAGAUUACAAGGUGCUGCAUGGUUGCCGUCAGCUCGUGCCGUGAGGUGUCAGGUUAAGUCCUAUAACGAGCGCAACCCCUGCCGUUAGUUGCCAGCAUGUAAAGAUGGGGACUCUAACGGGACUGCCGGUGCAAACCGUGAGGAAGGUGGGGAUGACGUCAAAUCAUCACGGCCCUUACGUCCUGGGCUACACACGUGCUACCAAUAGGUAGGUUACGUAGAGAGCAGCCGACUGUUCGCAAGGACGACGCGCGAACGUACUACUAAAGACCUACUACUACACGUUAC